CCUACGGGAGGCAGCAGUAGGGAAUAUUGCUCAAUGGGGGAAACCCUGAAGCAGAACCGCCGCGGGGAGGAUGAAGGUUUUCGGAUUGUAAACUCCUUUUGUUAGAGAAAAUAAUGACGGUAUCUAACGAAUAAGCACCGCCUAACUCCGUGCCAGCAGCGGCGGUAAUACGGAGGGUGCAAGCGUUACUCGGAAUAACUGGCCGUAAAAAGCGCUAAGGCGGGAUAGCAAGUCAGAUGUGAAAUCCUAUGGCUUAACCAUAGAACUGCAUUUGAAACGGUUAUUCUAGAGUAUGGGAGAGGUAGGUGGAAUUCUUGGUGUAGGGGUAAAAUCCGUAGAGAUCAAGAGGAAUACUCAUUGCGAAGGCGACCUGCUAGAACAUAACUGACGCUGAUGCGCGAAAGCGUGGGGAGCAAACAGGAUUAGAUACCCUUGUAGUC
rnacentral:rRNA from 1 species